rnacentral:rRNA from 1 species
UACGGGGGGAGCAAGCGUUGUUCGGAUUUACUGGGCGUAAAGGGCGCGUAGGCGGCCACGACAAGUCACUUGUGAAAUCUCCGGGCUUAACCCGGAAAGGUCAGCCGAUACUGCAGGGCUAGAGUGCAGAAGGGGCAACUGGAAUUCUCGGUGUAGCGGUGAAAUGCGUAGAUAUCGAGAGGAACACCUGCGGCGAAGGCGGGUUGCUGGGCUGACACUGACGCUGAGGCGCGAAAGCUAGGGGAGCGAACGGG